UACAGAGGGUGCGAGCGUUAAUCGGAAUUACUGGGCGUAAAGCGUGCGCAGAUGGUUACGUAAGUCGGGUGUGAAAGCCCCGGGCUCAACCUGGGAAUUGCAUUCGAGACUGCGUAGCUAGGGUGCGGAAGAGGGAAGCGGAAUUUCCGGUGUAGCGGUGAAAUGCGUAGAUAUCGGAAGGAACGCCGGUGGCGAAAGCGAUCUGCUGGAUCUCUUCUGACGCUGAUGCGCGAAAGCCAGGGGAGCAAACGGG
rnacentral:rRNA from 1 species